rnacentral:rRNA from 1 species
GAUGAACGCUGGCGGCGUGCCUAAUACAUGCAAGUCGAGCGAACAGACGAGGAGCUUGCUCCUCUGACGUUAGCGGCGGACGGGUGAGUAACACGUGGAUAACCUACCUAUAAGACUGGGAUAACUUCGGGAAACCGGAUCUAAUACCGGAUAAUAUCUUGAACCGCAUGGUUCAAUGGUGAAAGACGGUGUUGCUGUCUCUUAUAGAUGGAUCCGAGCUGCAUUAGCUAGUUGGUAAGGUAACGGCUUACCAAGGCGACGAUGCGUAGCCGACCUGAGAGGGGGAUCGCCGACACUGGAACUGAGACACGGUCCAGACGACUACGGGAGGGAGCAGUAGGGAACCUGCCGCAAUGGGCGAAAGCCUGACGGAGCAACGCCGCGUGAGUGAUGAAGGUGUUCGGAUCGUAAAACUCUGUUAUUAGGGAAGAACAAAUGUGUAAGUAACUAUGCACGUCUUGACGGUACCGAAUCAGAAAGCCACGGCUAACUACGUG